CGUCACGACGCCCGGAAGAACAUGGCGCCCGCUUCCUAGUAGCGGACCACAAUUCCCAGCAGCCCCCCGCGGUGCCGAGCUCCUAUUGGCUGCUGGGGGCUCCCCGGGAAGGCGGCCUGGGUGUGUGGAGAGAAAAUGGCGCCGGGCUGGGAAACACCACAGGUGUACGGUGCCAUCAUUGUGAUGGGAGAGCACGCGGUGUCACCUCAGCCCUCACCACAACAAUUAACAUCACCAUGGAACACAUGUCACACAGCCCCUCCUGCUACAGCUGGGCUGGAUUCCUCACACCUUCACACCGCGGCCUACAAGUAACGACUGGCAGGUGAAGCUGUUCCACGGUUGCUGUAGAGAUCCUGAGCUGCUCACUGUCAUUGUUCGCUCCAGGGACCAAAUGGAACAGCAGAUAUGAGACAGAGCGAGCAUAAAGUGCGUUAAUUCAUAAUACAGGGAAGAGAUGUGCUGAUGGGGACAAUGCUGUGUCACAGAGCUGCCUACAGAACUACACUGCACCUAGACACUGUGCUGGGUGUGCAAGGCAUUGAACACCAUUGUGCUGUAUGGACAAGGCAUUGAACACCACUGUGCUGUAUGGACAAGGCAUUGAACACCACUGUGCUGUGUGUACGAGGCAUUGAACAUCACUGUGCUGUGUGUACGAGGCAUUGAACAUCACUGUGCUGUGUGUGCAAGGCAUUGAACACCAUUGUGCUGUGUGUAUGAGGCAUUGAGCAUCACUGUGCUGUAUGGACAAGGCACUGAACAUCACUGUGCUGUGUGGACAAGGCAUUGAACACCACUGUGCUGUAUGGACAAGGCAUUGAACACCACUGUGCUGUAUGGACAAGGCAUUGAACACCACUGUGCUGUGUGUGCAAGGCAUUGAACACUGUGCUGUGUGUGCAAGGCAUUGAACAACACUGUGCUGUAUGGACAAGGCAUUGAACACCACUGUGCUGUGUGGACAAGGCACUGAUGUGUUGUCCUCUGAAAGCACAAAGCAUUGCUGAAUGUGUAAGAAAAGAAAUAGGCAAAUGUUCCCCCAGAGGUUUGAAGGGAGGUGAAUCCGUGGCCUGGCAGCCUGCAUGGAGCUGUGGUUAAUGCAUGAAGAGCUACAGGAGCACUUGCAGGACUCUGAAGCUGUUGGAGGAAACCUGGGCAAAAAGGUGUAACUUGCAUCAACGCUGGUAGAAAAAUAACAACAAGAAAGAGGUGUUGGCAGGAAUCAAGAGGCUCUUGGCGACCUUCUCAAAACAAAGAGGUUCCUCCAACCCAAGGCUUAACAAGGUGGAUGAAGAACCAGAGCUUUGAUUAGUCUGAGAUACAAAGAAUAUUCUGCUGAAUCACUUGGCUUUGGUAGAGUCAAGCACUUUGCUCUGGUGAAUCACUACAAUUUGAAGAGCACAUUUUGGGGUGUGUGCUCUAAAUCUCGAUUAACUCGGCUGCUGGAUAGGGGCAGCAGGCUGCUCAAUGAUAGUAAUGCACUGCAGUGCAGGGAAGGAAAGGCAGAUCCCAUUCAAAUACCCCUGCUGGCAGAACGAUAUUACUUCACUUAGAGCUGGAAGGAGCAAGAUACAAGCAAAUGUUCUUAGGUCAGGGACCAGCACACUACAACUAUGAAAAUGUUUCUUCCUCCUUCAAUAAAUAUUUUGUAUCCAAAAUGGA